UACGUAGGGGGCAAGCGUUGUCCGGAUUUAUUGGGCGUAAAGCGCGUGUAGGCGGCCAGGUAGGUCGGCUGUGAAAACUCGAGGCUCAACCUCGAGCUGUCGGCCGAAACCAUCUGGCUAGAGUCCGGAAGAGGAGAGUGGAAUUCCCGGUGUAGCGGUGAAAUGCGCAGAUAUCGGGAAGAACACCCGUGGCGAAGGCGGCUCGCUGGGCCAUACCUGACGCUGAGACGCGAAAGCGUGGGGAGCGAACAGG
rnacentral:rRNA from 1 species